GGGGGUGUUGCUACACCGCCAGAGGAGAUGCAAAGCGAUAGAAGAGUUCGCUCAGCUGUGUAAAAUCCUCAAACCUAACAUGGCCACCAUCGAGCCUAUUUUCGUUCUCUUCCUUGCCCAAGAAAGUGGAUCAAAGAAAGGUAGCUUGCUUCUCUCCUAGACUGAUGGUGGCUUAUACAGUGGUUAGCCUUCCUAACAGACCUACUCCUAAGGGAUGAUUAGCUGCACUGGGACUGAGAGGAUGAUCAACUAAAUUGGGACUGAGACAUGGCCCAAACUUCAAUAGGAGGCAGCAAUGGGAAAUUCUCUACAAAUGACGAAAGCCUUAUGAAGCAAUGCCACAUGGAGGUAGAAGGCCCAUAGGUCAUGAACUUCUUUUCCUUGAGAAGAAGCAAUGAUGGUAUCCGAGGAGCAAACAUCAACUCUUUGUGCCAGCAACCGUGGUAAGACAAAAAAGAUC
rnacentral:ncRNA from 1 species